UCCCCCCCCCAUCUUUAUUUAGUGCCCCCACCCACCGCGCAGGGGUGGGGGCCAGGGGGGAGGACAGUAGGUCCCCCCCCCCUAUCUUUAUUUAGGGCCCCCACCCAGCGCUCAGGGUUGGGGGCCAGGGGGGAGGACAGU